UGUUCUCCACCAGUGAUUUUGUUUGGUUUGGUUUUGGGUGUUGCUGCUUUGGGAUCGAAGGGUGCGUUUGUUUGUAUUGUUGUAGCAGCAGCGGUCGAUAGGGUUAAGACCAUGGAGCGCAUCAUCGGCGCCAAGUACAAGCUAGGUCGCAAGAUCGGAAGCGGAUCCUUCGGCGAAAUCUACCUCGCGACGCAUAUUGAUACCUUCGAAAUCGUCGCGGUCAAGAUCGAGAACAGUAAAACGAAGCAUCCGCAAUUGCUUUACGAGGCCAAACUCUACAAUAUUCUGCAGGGAGGAAGUGGCAUCCCGAGCAUAAAAUGGUGUGGUGUCGACGGAGAGGAUAAUGUGCUUGUUAUGGAUUUGCUGGGACCUAGUCUUGAGGAUCUGUUUGUUUACUGUGGAAGAAAGUUUUCCCUCAAAACCGUGUUGAUGUUAGCUGAUCAAAUGAUGACUAGAAUUGAAUAUGUGCAUUCUAAAGGAUUCCUACACAGGGAUAUAAAACCUGACAACUUUCUCAUGGGACUUGGUCGUAAAGCAAACCAGGUUUACAUAAUUGAUUUUGGGCUUGCAAAACGAUAUAGGGACUCCUCAACUAAUCGCCACAUUCCUUACAGGGAAAACAAAAACUUAACAGGGACUGCACGCUAUGCAAGUUGUAAUACUCAUCUUGGGAUUGAGCAAAGUCGACGGGAUGAUUUGGAGUCACUUGGGUAUGUGCUUCUGUAUUUUCUCAGAGGAAGCCUUCCUUGGCAAAACCUAAAGGCUGCAACAAAGAAGCAAAAGUAUGAUAAAAUAUGUGAGAAGAAAGUAGCAACUCCUAUUGAGGUUUUAUGCAAAUCUCAUCCCGUAGAGUUUGCUUCAUACUUUCAUUAUUGUCACUCUCUAACCUUUGAUCAGCGACCUGAUUAUGGAUUCUUGAAGCGCCUGUUUAGGGAUCUAUUUGCUCGUGAAGGUUAUGAUUUUGAUUAUGUAUUUGAUUGGACUAUUUUAAAGUACCAGCAAGCACAAAAGAAUAGGGCCCAACCUCGCAUGUCUACGGUCCCUGGAGCAAGCAACAGUCCUGCAGUGCCCAUGGAUGUGGACAACAAUCGAGGGGAUGUCUCAGCAGAACGCAUUAAAUCAGGCAAUGUAACUGGUUCUGGUGUUAAAAUUCAGUUUAAAUCACCUGGUUUAAAAAAUCUGGGUUCGGAAAAGCCUCUUGACAAGAAUAUUUUUGGUGAAGCAAAUAUACCCUCUACCUCAUACUCUCUUGCUGGCACCUCAAAAAGGAACUCUUUGAAGCCUGCCUUGUCCACUGAAGCUGCAAACAUAGUAAACGGACAAGGAAGUAACAAAAUUGGCCCUUCAAGUAGCUGGAUUUCAUCUGUUCAGCGCAUAUCAUCUGCCAAAUGAAUACCAAUAUGGUUUGUUUCUGAUCUAGAAGAUUCCCGUACACAUUUAUGAAGCUGCAAAAAUUCAUCAUAUUUGAUUGCUUCAACCUUACAUUUUUGGUCAAGAAUUUUCAAGUGAUCUAUCCAUGGAGACUGCAAAUGUGCUGCCAGGAUGAUAAAUGUCAACGCUCGUCAUCUUCUGAGACCAUCUGUGUUGCUUUUUUUCCUAAGAUCAUUUGCCUCCGAUGAUGGUAAGUUGCUAUUCCUGUCAAAGUGGUCAUGUUUUAAGAGAAUCUAACUAUCAAAUCAGAGGCAUAAUCAUUGCAGAAUGAUUCCUGAAAUAAUGAUUUCUUAACAGAAACCAAAGGUAGUUUUUGGUAGCAGUUACCUAAUACUUCCAACUUGUAGUUUUAUGUUGAGAUUACUAAUUUCUAAGAUCUGUAUUUCAUCAUUGUUUUUUUUUUAUCCAUUUUAGUCUAAAUCUGGAUGCUAUUCAAGAAAAAUCUCCAGUGGACUUGUCACUGUCAAAUUGUGAAUUUUAUUCAAUUAUCCAUGGUAGCUUGAAUUUGACGGUCAGCCAGAUUAACUAUAGUCAUUCUUGGGAUGAAUGAAAUCUGGUUGUGUCAAUGUAGUUCAAGGAUUUCUUUUUUCAACCUAUAUUGUCUGAAGGGUGAAAUAUGAGUGACAAUUGGUGUUGUAUGGAUGUCAUUGUCAACCGGAACAUACCUAUUCGUACAUAGCACUUUGGGGAAGUACUUGUGACAAGCUUGACAAUUGAUUUUGAUGUUGCUUGUGAUAUGGAUGAUGGUUAAGAUUUUCGAAGGUCUAUGACUUGAUUCUUGCUGGUUAUAAAUAGGCCUCUUAAAUUGAAAUACAUGCAUAGAAAGGAAGUUCAUUAGAGUGAGAAAUACAUGCAUAGAAACGAAGUUUAAUUCCUUGUGUAAGUUAUUUCAGUUAUAAAGACAUUUUUAACGUUUGUAGAUAUUCUCUUAUAAGCAAAGCUUGAAGUAACUGAGCAUUGAUUGGUC